UGUCUUUUCUUUUAAUCUUGAGUGAAUAUGCUACUAUAUUUUGAUCAGUUUCCAGGAAUUGAUCUUCAGUAGUCUAUAAUAUGAUCUACAAUGCUAUACUUCUUUCAGAUGUUCCUGGGCCAAGCAAAGAAAGUAGGAUUACCACGAGGCCUAGAAUGUAGCUUCAAUUUUCAUUCUGGUUUUUGCUUUGAUUUGUGAUAUUCAUCCUCAAAUACCCUGUAGUUUAUAGAUUUUGUAAGAAAAUGAUUGGGAAGAGUAAUUUGCUAAAAAGAAUAAAAAGUAAGGUGAAUGAAGCACCAUAUUUGGUUUAGAAGUUUUUCAUGUAUUGCAUCAUACUGCACUGUAGCCUAUUUUUAAGCAUGUUAGGCAGAACCAUAUUAUAUGAUAAUUUAUGAUGCUUAACGGUACCGAUAUUCUAGCACUAACACAGCUUGAUAUGAGACAAUAUUUUAAACCAUGGUCCCAUCACCGAUUUUUGCCAGAAAGACAAGGCUCUCAAUUAGCUGAGCUGACUUGGGUUUCCCUAGCUUGACUGGUGCACAUGAGACUUGGGUUGGGCUGAGGCUGAAUUUGGAAGGAUUCCCUGGCUUAGCCUCAAGCUUGGUUCAGCUGGUAUAAAUUGACCUAGGUUUUUAUCCUGGAGGAUAAAUGAAAUAGACAUAAUUAACCCAGGUUGUUCUAAUGGUCCUAUUUAAGGCCCAAACUUGCAAAACGACAGAGUUCCAGAUCUGUGGCCCUUGACCAAAAUCAUUAGAAGUAAGAGGGAGAUCAAACUUCAAAGCUUGGUAUUGGGUAUUGGGUUAUACUAAGUUAAAUAUUGUAAUUUGAUAAAACAUAGAGUAUAAUUUCUAAAUUAGCUGUGCUCAUCCUAGCCUCAUUCAAGUAUGUUAAUGAGCCGACCUUGAGACUUAAGCUCACCCUUGCCAUGGACAAGCUGACAAGGUGCUUGCUAAGAUUGGAAGAUCUUAACCUAUUCGUGCCACAGAGCCAGGCAACCAUCUCCUCCAAUGUGCAAUACACUACACGUAUGUAGUGUAAUCUUUUCUUGCAGGCAUUACACACCUCACCCAACUUAUAUGGUUGGAGUUCAGGAGUUCUGUAGUUCUGGAUAUUUAUCUGAUUGAUCAAAUGAUGUGCCAACAAAGAGAAGCUGCUGUCUGAUUUCUUAAUGCAUAUAUUGUUUUAGUUUUGACUACCGUAUUAAUG